rnacentral:rRNA from 1 species
UGGGGAAUAUUGGACAAUGGGCGAAAGCCUGAUCCAGCCAUGCCGCGUGUGUGAAGAAGGUCUUCGGAUUGUAAUGCACUUUAAGUUGGGAGGAAGGGCAGUAAGCGAAUACCUUGCUGUUUUGACGUUACCGACAGAAUAAGCACCGGCUAACUCUGUGCCAGCAGCCGCGGUAAUACAGAGGGUGCAAGCGUUAAUCGGAAUUACUGGGCGUAAAGCGCGCGUAGGUGGUUCGUUAAGUUGAAUGUGAAAGCCCCGGGCUCAACCUGGGAACUGCAGCCAAAACUGGCAAGCUAGAGUAGGGCAGAGGGUGGUGGAAUUUCCUGUGUAGCGAAGAAAUGCGUAAAUAUAGGAAGGAACACCAGUGGCGAAGGCGACCACCUGGGCUCAUACUGACACUGAGGUGCGAAAGCGUGGGGAGCAAACAGG